UGCAUUGGAUCGAUCGAGAAGAACACCCAAAACCUCUGGGUCUACGAGGACGAGAAGAUGGUGCAUCGCCAGGUGACCUAUGUUCCGGCCUUUACAAGAUCUUCGAUGAAAUCUUAGUCAAUGCCGCUGAUAACAAGCAGAGGGGAUCCCACCAUGGAUUCCGUGAGGGUGGUGAUUGAUAUGGAAACAAUUUAAUCAGUGUUUAUAACAAUGGCGAUGGGAGUGGAGAUUCAUAAGUAGGAGGGUGUGUAUGUACCGGAGCUGAUUUUCGGGCACUUGUUAACUAGCAGUAACUAUGAGGACACGGUGAAGAAGACCACCGGAGGGAG
rnacentral:misc_RNA from 1 species